rnacentral:rRNA from 1 species
AUGGUGCACCUAAACCCCGAGAUGGCUAAUUCUAUUUCCUGGAAACUCACUAACGAUGGCAUUUACUCUGCAUCCUCGGCCUACAAGGCCCAGUUCCUUGUUUUGGUUGACUCCAACAUGCAACAAUUGAUGUGGAAGAUCUGGGCUCCCCCCAAAUGCAAAUUCUUUGCUUGGCUAGUUAUCAAUAACAAGAUCUGGACGGCCAACAGGCUGUUGGGGAACGUAGCAGAAAUUCAAAAUUUUCCUAUGAGUCACCAAGAUCUAUCUAUGGAGAGACUAGCAACGAGGGGAAGGAGAGUGCAUCUACAUACCCUUGUAGAUCGCUAA